rnacentral:misc_RNA from 1 species
UCUCCGUAGGUGAACCUGCGGAGGGAUCACUACAGGCUUGCAAAAGCUCUGAAACCACUGUUUAUCUACCUGAAUCUGCUUCGGCGGGCGGCCCCAGGGCGGGUCCGUAGCCGCAAGGCGCCCGCCGAAGACCCCUAAACCCUGUCGUCUUGAGAAUCUCUGAGUAUCAUAUUAAACAGAAAACAACUUUCAACAACGGAUCUCUUGGCUCUG